GUGCUUACUUCGGCAGCACAUACACUAAAAUUGGAAUGAUACAAAAAAAAAAAAGAUACAGAAAUUAGCGUGGCCCCUGCACAAGGAUGAUAUGCAAAUUCAUAAAGCGUUCCAUAAAAAU
rnacentral:snRNA from 1 species